rnacentral:sRNA from 1 species
AUAUUAGGGUUAAAUUAGUUCUUUUCUUGUCUAAAAUACCCUUUUCCCAUGUGUUAAAAAUAAAAUAAAUACAAAAAUACCCUUUAAAAAAACUUCCAGCAAUUUUAAAAAAGUCUAUCGUUUAGUUAUGAGAGAUUUAUUCUUAUUCCCCAGACUUUUUUUAACUGUGAUAGAUUUUUUAUGGCAGACUUUUUUGGUUGACAGACUUCUUAGAAGAUAGUGAUAACAGAUUUAUAAAUUAUAGCAGAUUUAAUUUGAUUGACAGAUUUUUAGUUUAUUCAACCACAGACUUUCAUAUAAUUUGACAGACUUAUUUUUUUUGUGGAUGUUUUUUUACGUUAAAUGAUGGCAAAUUUAUAAUUUUGUUAAAAAAAUCUGUCACAUUGUAACAGAUUUGUUGUCAAAAAAUUAAUUACUAGAAUGACGUCUAACGAUAAUCAAUUUUUUUAAUGUUAUGACAGACUUGUUUUAUGUUAUAACAGAUUCUUGUAAUUUUACACGAUAUCUGUCGUUUGAUGACAUCUUUGUUUUCUAAAAUAUAAUGUUUUGUGUUAUGACAGAUUGUUUUAUGUUGUGACAGAUAAAUUUAUAUUACCAUAAAUCUGUCGUUUGAUAGCAGGUUUAAUAA